CAACGAGCUGUGUUUUAACAAGCCCUCCUAGUGAUACUGAUGCAAGCUGGAGCUGGAGAGCUGCUAGAAGACCUUCAGGAGCAGAAAGAGUGACUUGGGUUUAAUGGUUGGUUUGAUGUCCGAUCUUGGCCAGCCAGCUUUUUCUCCCCCAAAAGAGUGCUCAUGGAAGCCAAAAGUGAUCUGAGCAUCUCUGUGUGCAUCAAGAAUCUACAGGGUUUGUCUGGGAUUUCCCGGAAUACAGGGCGAGUCUUGCUCCGUCGUCCAGGCUAGAGUGCAGUGGCAUGAUCUUGGCUCA
rnacentral:lncRNA from 1 species